CCUACGGGGGGCUGCAGUGAGGAAUAUUGGUCAAUGGACGCAAGUCUGAACCAGCCAUGCCGCGUGCAGGAAGACGGCUCUAUGAGUUGUCAACUGCUUUUGUACGAGGGUAAACGCGGAUACGCGUAUCUGCCUGAAAGUAUCGUACGAAUAAGGAUCGGCUAACUCCGUGCCAGCAGCCGCGGUAAUACGGAGGAUUCAAGCGUUAUCCGGAUUUAUUGGGUUUAAAGGGUGCGUAGGCGGUCGGAUAAGUUAGAGGUGAAAUCCCGAGGCUCAACUUCGGAAUUGCCGCUGAUACUGUUCGGCUAGAGAGUAGUUGCGGUAGGCGGAAUGUAUGGUGUAGCGGUGAAAUGCUUAGAGAGCAUACAGAACACCGAUUGCGAAGGCAGCUUACCAAGCUACUUCUGACGUUGAGGCACGAAAGCGUGGGGAGCAAACAGGAUUAGAUACCCGAGUAGUC
rnacentral:rRNA from 1 species